UUAACUAUUAUAUAGUACUCAGACUUCAUAUACAUUCAGAGUUUUAGGUCCUCUGACACGCGCGAGCCAGCCGGAGCCGGUGCCCAGAGGGCGGCGUGCCAAAGCAACAAAUAUAUAAUACGCAAAGGGUGAGGUUUGCUACCCAGAGGGCAGCGAACACUGUAAUGAUCCUUCCGCAGGUUCACCUACGGAAA
rnacentral:misc_RNA from 1 species